AGCAGGGCUUUCCUACCGCCCUGCACCACAAACAUGUAGAUUUAUUUUAGUCUUUUGCAGGACAUGUACUAAAAACAGAGGCAUGGAAAAUGUUUUGUGCAUUGGCCAGACGAUGCUAAUGAAAUGUUGCUAAGGGUGGCGGAGCAGAUUGUACAUGUUGCCAAAGAAAACCAGGCCUCCAUUGGUGGACGCUUCCCAUGUGGAGAAACAGGCAGAGUCACGGCGAGCUGGAGCUUAACCCAGCAGACACAGUGCAAGGCAGGACUCCACCCAGGAUGGGACACCAGUUCAGCACUGGCCAGCUCUCACGCUCACACAAGCACGCACACAGAGGGCAGUUUAGAGUGACCAAUCAAGCUGACCAGUAUGUUUUUGGAUGAGGGGAGGAAACCGGUGUGCCUGGUGAAAACCAACAUGAGCACGGGGAGAACAGGCAAAUUCCCCUGAAUCAGGAAUCAAACCUGGAACCUUGGAGCUGUGAGGCAGCAGCGCUAUACAACCCUGCGCCACCAUGCUACAAACUAUAACCCAAUAUACAUGAUAAAUCAUAAGAGCAAAGAUUGUAAUCAAGUUCUUCAUUAAGGCCCCCAGUGGUUACAGAACUCCUUGUUAUUAUUAUUUAUUUCUUUGCAAAUUCCCUUAUCCAGGACGACUUACAAUUGUUACAAUAUAUCACAUUAUUUUUUACAUACAAUUACCCAUUUAUACAGUUGGGUUUUUACUGGAGCAAUCUAGGUAAACUACCUUGCUCAAGGUUAAAGUACCUUGUUCCCCACCUGAGAUUAGACUCAUGACCAUCUGGUCAGGAGUCCA